rnacentral:rRNA from 1 species
AUUGAACGCUGGCGGCAGGCUUAACACAUGCAAGUCGAGCGGAGAUGAGGUGCUUGCACCUUAUCUUAGCGGCGGACGGGUGAGUAAUGCUUAGGAAUCUGCCUAUUAGUGGGGGACAACAUUCCGAAAGGAAUGCUAAUACCGCAUACGUCCUACGGGAGAAAGCAGGGGAUCUUCGGACCUUGCGCUAAUAGAUGAGCCUAAGUCGGAUUAGCGAGUUGGUGGGGUAAAGGCCUACCAAGGCGACGAUCUGUAGCGGGUCUGAGAGGAUGAUCCGCCACACUGGGACUGAGACACGGCCCAGACUCCUACGGGGGGCAGCAGUGGGGAAUAUUGGACAAUGGGGGGAACCCUGAUCCAGCCAUGCCGCGUGUGUGAAGAAGGCCUUAUGGUUGUAAAGCACUUUAAGCGAGGAGGAGGCUACUGAGACUAAUACUCUUGGAUAGUGGACGUUACUCGCAGAAUAAGCACCGGCUAACUCUGUGCCAGCAGCCGCCGUAAAAC